GUCGGGUGUCUGCUGUUGAAAGGGGUUCACAUUUAUAUUUCAAUAAAUUAUUCAGAAGGAGGUACAAUUUGGUUACAUUAUAUUUCUCUGGUUGCAUAAGCAAUGUACAAUACCCCUGUACUGAAAAAUCCAUAUUAAAAGUACGGGAUCCUUCUACAAAAUCAGUUCAAAUUCUGGGAAUCCCAGAUGACGUAGUCGAAUCUGAUUGGCUAAGAUAUUAUAGUGAUGAGGGGAUUUUCCACUUUAUAUUUUGGAAACUCCAAAAA
rnacentral:lncRNA from 1 species